rnacentral:rRNA from 1 species
AGAGUUUGAUCCUGGCUCAGGACGAACGCUGGCGGCGCGCCUAACACAUGCAAGUCGAACGGAGCUUAAAGAGCUUGCUUUUUAAGCUUAGUGGCGAACGGGUGAGUAACGCGUGAGUAACCUGCCCUGAAGUGGGGGACAACAGUUGGAAACGACUGCUAAUACCGCAUAAGCCCACGGAUCCGCAUGGAUCUGCGGGAAAAGGAUUUAUUCGCUUCAGGAUGGACUCGCGUCCAAUUAGCUAGUUGGUGAGGUAACGGCCCACCAAGGCGACGAUUGGUAGCCGGACUGAGAGGUUGAACGGCCACAUUGGGACUGAGACACGGCCCAGACUCCUACGGGAGGCAGCAGUGGGGGAUAUUGCACAAUGGGGGAAACCCUGAUGCAGCGACGCCGCGUGGAGGAAGAAGGUUUUCGGAUUGUAAACUCCUGUCGUUAGGGACGAUAAUGACGGUACCUAACAAGAAAGCACCGGCUAACUACGUGCCAGCAGCCGCGGUAAAACGUAGGGUGCAAGCGUUGUCCGGAAUUACUGGGUGUAAAGGGAGCGCAGGCGGACCGGCAAGUUGGAAGUGAAAACUAUGGGCUCAACCCAUAAAUCGCUUUCAAAACUGCUGGCCUUGAGUAGUGCAGAGGUAGGUGGAAUUCCCGGUGUAGCGGUGGAAUGCGUAGAUAUCGGGAGGAACACCAGUGGCGAAGGCGACCUACUGGGCACCAACUGACGCUGAGGCUCGAAAGCAUGGGUAGCAAACAGGAUUAGAUACCCUGGUAGUCCAUGCCGUAAACGAUGAUUACUAGGUGUUGGAGGAUUGACCCCUUCAGUGCCGCAGUUAACACAAUAAGUAAUCCACCUGGGGGAGUACGACCCGCAAGGUUGAAACUCAAAAGGAAUUGACGGGGGCCCGCACAAGCAGUGGAAGUAUGUGGGUUUAAUUCCGAAGCAACGCCGAAAAAACCUUUACCAAGGUCUUGGACAUCCGAAUGCAUAGUGCAGAGAUGCAUGAAGUCCUUCGGGACAUCGAGACAGGUGGUGCAUGGUUGUCGUCAGCUCGUGUCGUGAGAUGUUGGGUUAAGUCCCGCAACGAGCGCAACCCUUAUUGCCAGUUACUACGCAAGAGGACUCUGGCGAGACUGCCGUUGACAAAACGGAGGAAGGUGGGGAUGACGUCAAAUCAUCAUGCCCUUUAUGACCUGGGCUACACACGUACUACAAUGGCGUUUAACAAAGAGAAGCAAGACCGCGAGGUGGAGCAAAACUCAAAAACAACGUCUCAGUUCAGAUUGCAGGCUGCAACUCGCCUGCAUGAAGUCGGAAUUGCUAGUAAUCGCGGAUCAGCAUGCCGCGGUGAAUACGUUCCCGGGCCUUGCACACACCGCCCGUC